AAUACUAGAGCUAAUACAUGCAAACAGAGCUCCGACCGGAGACGGAAGGAGUGCUUUUAUUAGAUCAAAACCAAUCGGUGGCGGGUUCGCCCGUUAUCGUACAACUUGGUGACUCUGAAUAACUUUACGCUGAUCGCACGGUCAUCGCACCGGCGACGCAUCUUUCAAAUGUCUGCCUUAUCAACUGUCGAUGGUAGGUUCUGCGCCUACCAUGGUUGUAACGGGUAACGGGGAAUCAGGGUUCGAUUCCGGAGAGGGAGCCUGAGAAACGGCUACCACAUCCAAGGAAGGCAGCAGGCGCGCAAAUUACCCACUCCCGGCACGGGGAGGUAGUGACGAAAAAUAACGAUACGGGACUCAUCCGAGGCCCCGUAAUCGGAAUGAGUACACUCUAAACCCUUUAACGAGGAUCAAUUGGAGGGCAAGUCUGGUGCC
rnacentral:rRNA from 1 species